rnacentral:pre_miRNA from 1 species
AAACAGCCCCUAUGUUUUGAUUCUUUAGCAGUUUUGGACCCCCAAGGCAAAAAAAAUAUAAAAAAAAGACACGUGGCACCUCACUUAGGGGGCCACGUCAGCGUUGACCGAAUCAACAAUGAACUGGGGGUCCAAAACUGUCAAAAAAUCAAAACAUAGGGGGCUGUUU